rnacentral:rRNA from 1 species
AAUCUUGCGCAAUGGGCGAAAGCCUGACGCAGCCAUGCCGCGUGAAUGAUGAAGGUCUUAGGAUUGUAAAAUUCUUUCACCGGGGACGAUAAUGACGGUACCCGGAGAAGAAGCUCCGGCUAACUUCGUGCCAGCAGCCGCGGUAAUACGAAGGGGGCUAGCGUUGCUCGGAAUUAAUGGGCGUAAAGGGCGGGUAGGCGGAUGGUUAAGUCAGGGGGGAAAUCCCGGGGCCCAACCUCGGAACUGCCCUUGAUACUGGCGAUCUUGAGUAUGAGAGAGGUAUGUGGAACUCCGAGUGUAGAGGUGAAAUUCGUAGAUAUUCGGAAGAACACCAGUGGCGAAGGCGACAUACUGGCUCAUUACUGACGCUGAGGCGCGAAAGCGUGGGGAGCAAACA